rnacentral:rRNA from 1 species
CCCUUAGAUGUCCUGGGCCGCACGCGCGUUACACUGAUGCAUUCAACGAGCUUAUAACCUUGGCCGAGAGGCCUGGGCAAUCUUGUUAACGUGCAUCGUGAUAGGGAUAGAUUAUUGAAAUUAUUAAUCUUCAACGAGGAAUGCCUAGUAAGCGUGAUUCAUCAAAUCGCGUUGAUUACGUCCCUGCCCUUUGUACACACCGCCCGUCGCUCCUACCGAUUGAAUGUGUUGGUGAGGAGCUCGGAUUGGCAGCAGUUGGUGGUUCGCCACCGGCUAUUGCUGAGAAGUCCUCCAAACCGCCCCAUUUAGAGGAAGGAGAAGUCGUAACA